UCUGAUUGAUCCUGCCAGUAGUCAUAUGCUUGUCUCAAAGAUCAAGCCAUGCAUGUCUAAGUAUAAGCAAUUUAUACAGUGAAACUGCGAAUGGCUCAUUAAAUCAGUUAUCGUUUAUUUGAUAGUACCUUUACUACAUGGUUAUAACCGUGGUAAUUCUAGAGCUAAUACAUGCUAAAAAUCCUGACUGUUUUGAAGGGAUGUAUUUAUUAGAUAAAAAACCAAUGCUCUUCGGAGCUCUUGGAAGAUUCAUAAUAACUUUUCGAAUCGCAUGGCUUCAUUGCCGGCGAUGGUUCAUUCAAAUUUCUGCCCUAUCAACUUCCGAUGGUAGGAUAGUGGCCUACCAUGGUUUCAACGGGUAACGGGGAAUUAGUCCGGGGAAAGGGGAGGGAGCCUGAGAAACGGCCACCACAUCCAAGGAAUGCAGCAGGCGCGCAAAUUACCCAAUCCUGACACAGGGAGGUGGUGACAAUACAUAACGAUACAGGGCCCUUUCGGGUCUUGUAAUUGGAAUGAGUACAAUGUAAAUACCUUAACGAGGAACAAUUGAAGGGCAAGUCUGGUGCCAGCAGCCGCGGCAAUUCCAGCUCCAAUAGCGUAUAUUAAAGUUGUUGCAGUUGAAAAGCUCGUGAUUGAACCCUGGGCUUGGUUGGCCGGUCCGCUGUUUGGCGAGUACUGGAUCCAACCGAGCCUUUCCUUCUGGCUCACCUUCUGCCCUUCACGGGGUGGUUGGCAAACCAGGACUUUUACCUUGAGAAAAUUAGAGUGUUCAAAGCAGGCCUAUAGCUCGAAUAUGUUAGCAUGGAAUAAUAGAAUAGGACGUCAUGGUUCUAUUUUGUUGGUUUCUGGGACCAUCGUAAUGAUUAAUAGGGACGGUCAGGGGCAUCAGUAUUCAGUUGUCAGAGGUGAAAUUCUUGGAUUUACUGAAGACUAACUACUGCGAAAGCAUUUGCCAAGGACGUUUUCAUUAAUCAAGAACGAAAGUUACGGGAUCGAAGAUGAUCAGAUACCGUCGUAGUCUUAACCAUAAACUAUGCCGACUAGGGAUCGGGUGUUGUCCUUUUAUGGACUCACUCCUUACGAGAAAUCAAACUGUUUGGGUUCUGGGGGGAGUAUGGUCGCAAGGCUGAAACUUACAGGAAUUGACGGAAGGGCACCACCAGGAGUGGAGCCUGCGGCUUAAAUUGACUCAACACGGGGAGACUCACCAGGUCCAGACACAUGAAGGAUUGACAGAUUGAGAGCUCUUUCCUGAUUUUGUGGGUGUCCUACAAGUUGGAAGACUUCCUAUCAUAAUUAAUGGUUCCAAAAACCUCGAGAAUGCACUACAGCCAGGUUCAUUGGCCAUACAGGAAGGAUGGCUAUGGCUUAGUCAAAGGGGAUGUUUUCCCUUCAGCGUUUUCCACACUUCUCCCCGAAACUCGCGCGAUGUACUUUAUGAAACUCUUACACGGAUCAUUGGUUACCCUCUUAGAGCAACAUGAAAAAGAGCGCUGAAAAUACCGCCACACCUGU
rnacentral:rRNA from 1 species